AAUUUUGAAAAUAUUUCAUGUGUUUUUAAUUGCUGCACAAGUUCCUUGGUAAAGAGGUAGAGUGCUGUUAUUCAUUGUUAAUAAAGCUGUAUGUUACCUGGACCAAACUUGUUCCUCUUGGUGGAUUAUUUAUUUGUCAAGGAAAUAACAGCCAGGGGGCUUCAAGUCUAGAUGAAAACAAAAUGGAUAAAUGGAAAGCCUUUGUAUUACUAUGAUUAAACUCAGCAGGUCUAGGUUUAGGUGUAUCUAUAAUAUGCAGAUCAUGCCUUCCCUGUCCCUAAGUUACAGUUUUCAUAAGAUUAGUAACUAGUAUUGUUGAACUGCUGGAGGAUGAAUCUGACACAGCAGUUGUAAUUUGUUGCAGGGAGGGAAUUUGUUUUGGUACGGACCCAGAAAUACGGAUGCACGGUGAGAAGGAACAUAGAGUUCCAUCUUGUAACAUGUUUCAAGCUGAAGGAAUGGCUAGCCAAGGUUGCGGUAGGUCCAGAAAUACGGAGUCAGCCAACCCAGAAAACUGAUCAAGAAAUCCCUCACCCUGAAUAUCUCGGACUCCCACAGUGACUAAAGUGCUUAUUCCAGUCCUCUCGAAGUCCUCUCUGUUGAAGGAGUGAAAAUAGUAAAACAUCCCUUCUUUCGCGAACCAACACAGAAGAAUCAAAGAAAAAAAAAGCAACAAAUAUGAAGUUUGAAAUAACCAUCACUUCGCAUAUUCAAAUUCAGUUCAGUAGCCAUAUGUUGCAGAAUUCGUGUGGUAGUCAGGAAAACCAUCAAUGGGGUUGGAGGUUUCCAUGUGGUAGUCAGGAAAACCAUCUACCAUGAUCUCACAGAUAUUAUCAAUCUCCCUGCUCCAACAUGCACUUGCAUGCCAUUCCAAAGGCUGUU
rnacentral:lncRNA from 1 species